rnacentral:lncRNA from 1 species
CCGGAUCCUCAUUGCAACCCUGCAGAAGUAGGCACAACUGUCUCCAUCUCCUGGGUGAGGAAAUUGGGGCUCAGGGAGGUCACAUCACUUGCCCAGGGUCAUCCAACCGGAGCUUCCAGCCGACAAGUCAGACUUCCUGGCGGUGGCAGCAGCAGCCCCAGCAGGAGGGAGGAGGAGCAGAGGCCUGCAGGAGUGUGCUGAGGCAAAGGUGGCACAGGUACCACCUGUCCACUUGGCUCCUCUACCUCCCAACAGCUGAGGAACCUCAGAAGAUCCAAGCCCCUCCUCCAGGACCCCUCCUCCCCCAGGGCUGGCUCCAGCCUCUAAGUGGAGGUGGGCAAGUGAAUAGACUCCCAGGAUGCUGGGGCCAGCUUUCUGCCCAGACCAGGCUGCUGUCAUACUGCUCCCACUUCAAGCAUCAAAAACGAACAGCAGCUGCC